GCCGGAAUAGCUCAGUUGGGAGACUGUAGUUGUCUACGCAACAAUCAUCUUAAGGCACCGGUUCAAUCCCGGGUUCCGGCA
rnacentral:tRNA from 1 species